rnacentral:lncRNA from 1 species
AAAGAGUGGUAGAAAGGCAACAUACUCAAAAAGUGUUUGAGAGGCAACAAACUGAGAAAGUGGCUGAGAGGAAACAACCUGAAGAAGUAGCUGAAGAAGUAGAAGAGAGACGACAACCAAAAGAAGUGGUAGAUAGGAAAAAACCUAGUGAUAAAAGGUCUUGCAACGCUGUAUCAUUUGGCAACAUUCCUAAGGUAAUUACUUUGUUUAUUAACUCAUAAAUUUCAAUAUUUAUUUUGCUCAAUAUUCAUAAUAAUGUUUAUAUUUAUAUCGCAAUGGUUUAGGGUCUUUUGUCUGUUGAUAUCUAUUUAUCAUCCCCAAGUUGGUGUUUGGUUGCUCGUGGUAAACUAUAUAACACUGAAGGUAAUAUAGUGCACGACAUUACAUUACCACCUGGCUAUGUCAAGGUUAAGAUCGAAGUUUCUAUUGUGCCAAAUGCUCCGUUGCCUAUAUCUGUUGAAUAUGGAGAUGUAUCCAUGGUUGGUCAGGAAAUAGGAACAAUUGUGCCAUGGCCACUUAAACUUCUUCAAUUUGUUGGUGAAUGUGAAAAGGUAAAUUACUUAUUAUCUACUUGCUUGAUCGCAGGGUAAUAUAUACAUGUUUUAUUAUUUUAUAACUAACCUUCAUUAAUGUAACUAUUUAGAUUCCUAAUCAAUUCCAAAACAAAGAUAAGAAUAUCCAGCGAAGUGCUAAAUCAGUUUCAUCACCUAACAAAGACAACAAAACAUUCAAAAUUCAAGAGUCCCCUAAAGUUGGUGGUUCAUCUGGUCUUGCAAAAGUGUCUGAGAGGCAACAAACCGAGAAAGUGGCCGAGUGGAAACAACCUGAAGAAGUAGCUGAAGAAGUAGUAGAGAGACGACAACCAAAAGAAGUGGCAGAGAGGCAAAAACCUAGUGAUAAAAGGUCUUCCAACGUUGUAUCAUUUGGUAACAUUCAGGAGGUACUUACUUUGUUUAUUAACUCAUAAAUUCUAAUAUUUAUUUUGCUCAAUAAUUAUAAUAAUGUUUACAUUCAUAUCGCAAUGUUUUAGGGUCUUUUGUCUGUUGAUAUCUAUUUAUCAUCCCCAAGUCGGUGUUUGGUUGCUCGUGGUAAACUAUAUAACACUGAAGGUAAUAUAGUGCACGGCAUUACAUUACCACCUGGCUAUGUCAAGGUUAAGAUCGAAGUUUCUAUUGUGCCAAAUGCUCCAUUGCCUAUAUCUGUUGAAUAUGGAGAUGUAUCCAUGGUUGGUCAGGCAAUAGGAACAAUUGUGCCAUGGCCACUUAAACUUCUUCAAUUUGUUGGUGAAU